rnacentral:lncRNA from 1 species
AAAGGGUUACCUUCUCUCCUAAAUGAUACUUGCUCUUCUUGAGACAUGUGGCAAGUUCAUUUGCGAGCAUCGGGAGACUUGCUAGCUGGAUAAGGGAGAAAGUGGAAAGGAUAUGCAAAUGUAUAUGUAUGUAUGCAAAUGCACGAAAAUGCGUGGGUAUGCAAAAAUAUUUUUUAAUUUUUUAAUUUGAAGGUAUGCUAAAAGUUUUUUUUAGAUGCAAUGCAACUGUCACAUUAGGACAAUGACAUAUAGGAGAACCCACACGGGUUUAGAGAUUGUGAUGGAU